rnacentral:rRNA from 1 species
GACAGAGGGUGCAAACGUUGUCCGGAAUUACUGGGCGUAAAGCGUGCGCAGGCGGUUCGCCAAGUCAGGUGUGAAAUCCCCGGGCUUAACCUGGGAAUUGCGCUUGAAACUAGCGGGCUUGAGUGUGGCAGAGGGGGGUGGAAUUCCACGUGUAGCAGUGAAAUGCGUAGAGAUGUGGAGGAACACCGAUGGCGAAGGCAGCCCCCUGGGUCAACACUGACGCUCAUGCACGAAAGCGUGGGGAGCGAACAGG